AAGGAGCGAAUCAUUCUAAACAUGGUGGAGGUUCAAGCCAGGCACAUCCUUCACACUGCCUGUAAAACCCACUGGGAACAGAGCUGGGUCAGAGUUUGUUAGCGAACUUGCUGCAGCAGCACGGAGCGCACGUGGGAGGAACUUCCUGCGGAAGUGGCCUGUGUGGGCGGAGUCUGAGGAGGACGGAACCAGGAACCCGAGGUGGACUGGAGGCUGUCGGGAGAAUCGAUCUGAGUUGCUUUUGCUUUCCCAUGCCACAGGAAUGCUUCUGACCAAUUAUUCAUCCUUUCUGCCCUCCUGACGGGGAUGAGUUUGUGUGCUAUAAAUCAUCAUCCCAUUCAGUGUAUUUGCUUGGAACUUGGACUUCUGUGUUGACACACGAACCCGUUUCUUCAUGUUCAUUUAACUGCACCCUGAGAAAUUAUCUAUCCACAUACUUGGUGGCAAAAGGCAAGAGCAGAUGGCUACAAAACUGAAAUGGGAGUUCUUCUGAAAACUCAA